rnacentral:rRNA from 1 species
GCUUUAUAUUUAUAAAUUAUUAUUUAUUUAGUGAAAUUUUUUUAAUAGUUGAAAAAGUAUUUUGUUGGGGUGACAGGAAGAUAAAAAAAACUCUUUUUAGUUUAUUUACAUUGAUAUAUGAAUUUUUGAUCCAUUAUUAUUGAUUAUAAGACUAAGU